GACAUCAGGUUCUUGAGAAUAUUCACCACUUCAUGAAUUGUCUCGAGUGUUUCAGAAGAAGGUCCCAUGCAAGAGCAGCUGAAUGCAUCAACAAUACCUUUGACCAUUUCUGACCCAAGAUCCCUCAGUCCUUUCCUGAGGAAAGGCAAUGGAUAUUUGGUUGCACCAAGGCUAUUGGACUGUCUGAUGUCAGGUCUGUGUGAACAGAAAGAAGAUCCUCGAGAACAUUCCCACUGGCACUCUGUGGGGGUCAAACUCUGGGGAAGACUUAAUGAAAAUU